UCCCAUAUGGUGUAGUGGUUAGCAUACCAGGCUUUCACCUGCCUCUCUGAUCUCAAAUCAGGAGGGAAUCUGAACCACCCUGGAGUCCCGGGUUCAAUUCCCGGUGUGGGAA